UGGUGGAGUGAUUUGUCUGGUUAAUUCCGUUAACGAACGAGACCUCAGCCUGCUAAAUAGUGUGCAUAUUUUAACGAAUGUGUUUUUCUCGACUUCUUAGAGGGACAUUUCGGGUUUACCGGAAGGAAGUUUGAGGCAAUAACA
rnacentral:rRNA from 1 species